rnacentral:rRNA from 1 species
AGGACUAACGCUGGCGGCGUGCCUAACACAUGCAAGUCGAGCGGGGUAGCGAAUACCCGAGCGGCAGACGGGUGAGUAACGCGUGGUCAACCUUCCGUUGAAUGGGGGAUAACUAGCCGAAAGGUUAGCUAAUACCGCAUACGAUCUUUUGAAGGCAUCUUUAAAAGAUGAAAGGAGCAAUUCGUUCAACGACGGGACCGCGUCCCAUUAGCUAGAUGGUGGGGUAAUGGCCUACCAUGGCAACGAUGGGUAGCUGGUUUGAGAGAGCGACCAGCCACACUGGGACUGAGAAACGGCCCAGACUCCUACGGGAGGCAGCAGUGAGGAAUUUUCCGCAAUGGGCGAAAGCCUGACGGAGCGACGCCGCGUGUGGGAAGAAGGCCUUCGGGUCGUAAACCACUGUCGAAGGGGACUAUACUGAAGGUACCCUUGGAGGAAGCCCCGGCUAACUACGUGCCAGCAGCCGC